rnacentral:rRNA from 1 species
CGUGUAGGCGGCUAGAUAAGUGAGAUGUGAAAGGUCUCGGCUCACCCGAGGACGUGCAUCUCAUACUGUUUGGCUUAAGUAUGGGAGAGGAUGGGGGAAUUCCUGGUGUAGCGGUGAAAUGCGUAGAUAUCAGGAGGAACACCAGUGGCGAAGGCGCCCAUCUGGCCCAAUACUGACGCUGAGGCGCGAAAGCUAGGGGAGCGAACG